rnacentral:rRNA from 1 species
GAUGAACGCUGGCGGCGUGCCUAAUACAUGCAAGUCGAGCGAACAGACGAGGAGCUUGCUCCUCUGACGUUAGCGGCGGACGGGUGAGUAACACGUGGAUAACCUACCUAUAAGACUGGGAUAACUUCGGGAAACCGGAGCUAAUACCGGAUAAUAUAUUGAACCGCAUGGUUCAAUAGUGAAAGACGGUUUUGCUGUCUCUUAUAGAUGGAUCCGCGCCGCAUUAGCUAGUUGGUAAGGUAACGGCUUACCAAGGCAACGAUGCGUAGCCGACCUGAGAGGGUGAUCGGCCACACUGGAACUGAGACACGGUCCAGACUCCUACGGGAGGCAGCAGUAGGGAAUCUUCCGCAAUGGGCGAAAGCCUGACGGAGCAACGCCGCGUGAGUGAUGAAGGUCUUCGGAUCGUAAAACUCUGUUAUUAGGGAAGAACAAAUGUGUAAGUAACUAUGCACGUCUUGACAGUACCUAAUCAGAAAGCCACGGCUAACUACGUG